ensembl:lncRNA
CCUAUCCUAAGUCUAUUUACAGUUUGUGUACAGUAGGUUAGCAAAACACCAGGAGAUUUGUGUCAUUAUAUGUCAUUAACACUAACCUGUGGUUGGUGAAACAGUGAUUAACUGGUGCCAUUUCAAUUAGUUGAUAAAAAUAUGUCUUCCUGUAGCCUAAUAAUAUCAUAAUCAUAAAUGUUGUACUUAAUUUAAUUUAAUUUAUUUUUGCCUUGCAGCUGGAAAUUGAGGCACAUCAAUUGAGGUAUGUACAAGUUGUAUACAUAAUAAAGUCAGUAUGUGAAGAGUGGAUAUUAAAUUUAAGUUGAAAUCAUUUUAAUUUCCUCUAGGUGCUAUUGUCCUGAUUUGCUUUGCUCUUCUUUCAUUCUUUUAGUAUCAACAUUAUUAAUGAAUUUUACAAGAAGGCCACACCAAAAAACAAGCUUGACAAAUCAAGGUUGGAGGCCCUGGAAAAAUCCAUCCAACAUAUCGCCACAAAAAGCAAAGAGAUUUUCCCUCGACCAUGGGAAUUUUACGAGGACAUUACCUUUAAUCCAGACAACACAUCCGAAAGCCUGAUGAUAUCCGAGGACUAUACGCAAGUAUUCAUCAGUCCCAACCAGACGUCACCCAAAAUCCGGACCCAAGAUAAAGAAACACCGUUCCACAUCCUAGCUAAGCAAUCCUGGAAGGAGGGCCGACACUAUUGGGAGGUGGACGUGGAGAACUGCCGCACCUGGUCGGUCGGCGUUGUGGAGCUGGCCAGUGGCAAUCAGCUGAAGACGGAGGCGGCGGGAGAGCACCUGGGCCGGGACAAGAGCUCAUGGGUGUUGGAGUCAGAGGACGGGGCGCUGGCGGCGCUGCACAACGACGACUUCAGAGCGGUGAAAAAGCGGGAUGUGAAGCGCCUCGGGGUCUACCUGGACAUAUCAAAGAACAAGAGCCGGCUGACCUUCUACGACGUCGGUGGCGGCGUGGCUCUGCACACGUUCUAUGCGCUCUUCAAGAAGGAGGUGUUCCCUGCCUUCAGUCUGUCCGGUACGGAUGGCCAGGUUCAAAGCAUGGCCCUGUGCAAUCUUCGCCUCAUGCUUGAUGAUACAGACUCGGGGUUAGGGUCGUCCAGAUCGAGCUCUACCAUGUCAGAGUCGGGAUCAUCCGAGUCUUCUCCAGAGCAGUGGCGUAACGUAGUUACGACGGGCCCAGGUGCAGGCUAUUAUGACGGGCCCUAGUCAGUGGCGUAAGGCAGUGGUUCCCAAACAUUU